AGCCUCCUCUUCACGGGGUAAUGGCGGCUCAGCUGGUGGGAAGAGAUAGAAAAGGGGCUUCCUUUGCAAAUUCACAAGAAGCAGCCGGUCUCAGAGUCCCUCAGGAAGCUGAAUGGACUGUAGCAAGGAUCUGGGAGCAGCAGGCUGGAACACCAGAGGAGGACAGCACUGCAAGGAGACUGAGGGACUGAUCACUAUCUGCUUGUGUGCCCCGGGAAUCUUGAACUUAGCCUCUCCCUCCCCUGCUCAGAACCGGGCUGCCGCUGUCCCGCCCCCGCUGUUUCUUUGGUACUGCUCUGCAUUUUCUCCAAGCUGUAGCCUGCACCCUGCUGCCUGGCUGGCAUGUCCCUGCAGAUUCCAGCUAUUUGCCGUGGAAUUUUGAGACAUUCUUGUUCACUGCCCCGUGAUUUCUGCUCAUUCCUGCCAUUCCAGCCUGCUGCUUCCGAGAAUCCUGCUAAGGGCACCAGGAUCGGCUGCCCCAGGGGUUUGUGAAGCAAAGCCUCUCUUCCAUCCCUUCCCGUCUCGGCCAAGCUGCCAUUGCCACGUGCUCCGCGAGCCCGCGCCGGAGCGCCCCCUGCAGCCACGUGGGGAUCAUCGCACCUGCCCUGUCCACCAGGAGCCUGCCAGUGCCCCUGCUGGCUGUGACCGUAACUACACCUAAGGGGAAAGUGCCGCAGCCGAAAAGGCUGUCACUGGGUUUGUGGUUCUGUUUGUUGUUAAUGACAUAGUUGUUGUUGUUGCUUGAUUAUACAUACUAGUAAAGAACUGCUAUUCCUAUUCCCA